AUUGAACGCUGGCGGCAUGCUUUACACAUGCAAGUCGAACGGUAACAGGCCGCAAGGUGCUGACGAGUGGCGAACGGGUGAGUAAUGCAUCGGAACGUGCCCAGUCGUGGGGGAUAACGCAGCGAAAGCUGUGCUAAUACCGCAUACGAUCGGUGGAUGAAAGCGGGGGACCGAAAGGCCUCGCGCGAUUGGAGCGGCCGAUGUCAGAUUAGGUAGUUGGUGGGGUAAAGGCUCACCAAGCUAACGAUCUGUAGCUGGUCUGAGAGGACGACCAGCCACACUGGGACUGAGACACGGCCCAGACUCCUACGGGAGGCAGCAGUGGGGAAUUUUGGACAAUGGGCGCAAGCCUGAUCCAGCAAUGCCGCGUGCAGGAAGAAGGCCUUCGGGUUGUAAACUACUUCUGUACGGAGCGAAAAGGCUCUCUCUAAUACAGGGGGCUCAUGACGGUACCGUAAGAAUAAGCACCGGCUAACUAUGUGCCAGCCGCCGCGGUAAGAC
rnacentral:rRNA from 1 species